ensembl:misc_RNA Metazoa_SRP Metazoan signal recognition particle RNA
GCCGGGCAUGGUGGCGUGUGCCUGUGAUCCCAGCUACUCAGGAGGCUGAGGCAGGAGAAUCGCUUGAACCAAGGAGGCGGAGGUUGUGGUGAGCCAAGAUGGUGCUGUUGCACUCCGGCCUGGACAACAAGAGUGAAACUGUCUCAAAAAAUAAAAAUAAUAUUUUUUAAAUAGCUUUUUUUAUUAUUAUUGAGACGGAGUCUGGCUCUUUCACUGAGGCUGGAGUGCAGUGGCACAAUCUCGGCUCACUGCAACCUCUGCCUCCCAGGUUCAAGCAAAUCUCCUGCCUUCU